UGAGAACAGUGUCUUUUCCUCUACAG
rnacentral:piRNA from 1 species